CCUACGGGAGGCAGCAGUGGGGAAUUUUGGACAAUGGGCGAAAGCCUGAUCCAGCAAUGCCGCGUGAGUGAAGAAGGCCUUCGGGUUGUAAAGCUCUUUUGUCAGGGAAGAAACGGUGUGGGCUAAUAUCCCGCACUAAUGACGGUACCUGAAGAAUAAGCACCGGCUAACUACGUGCCAGCAGCCGCGGUAAUACGUAGGGUGCAAGCGUUAAUCGGAAUUACUGGGCGUAAAGCGUGCGCAGGCGGUUUUGUAAGUCUGUCGUGAAAGCCCCGGGCUCAACCUGGGAAUUGCGAUGGAGACUGCAAGGCUUGAAUCUGGCAGAGGGGGGUUAGAAUUCCACGUGUAGCAGUGAAAUGCGUAGAGAUGUGGAGGAACACCGAUGGCGAAGGCAGCCCCCUGGGUCAAGAUUGACGCUCAUGCACGAAAGCGUGGGGAGCAAACAGGAUUAGAUACCCUGGUAGUCCACGCCCUAAACGAUGUCUACUAGUUGUCGGGUUUUAAUUAACUUGGUAACGCAGCUAACGCGUGAGUAGACCGCCUGGGGAGUACGGUCGCAAGAUUAAAACCGUCAAAGGAUUGACGGCUGGAGACGUAGACGACGACGACGACGAGGGAGGAGG
rnacentral:rRNA from 1 species